AUGAGUUGGUUUCUGAAGAGGGUGCUCAGCCAUCAGAUCUGUCACAUGAAGCUGGAAAAGUUGCUGCUGAACCUUUAAUAUAUGAUAAUAAUGGUCCCAGUCUUCAACAGGUUGAUAGGGUGCUGGCAUGUCGAGUGCAAGAUGAUAAUAUUAGUUGUUCACAUGAUAUCCCUGGAAUAAAUGCAAAUGACCCAGCAUUGAGAGAUUCAGCGAGAGAGGAAGCAAAUGAUGGAAAACCCAGCGGUGA
rnacentral:misc_RNA from 1 species